CCUACGGGUGGCAGCAGUGGGGAAUAUUGGGCAAUGGAGGAAACUCUGACCCAGCAACGCCGCGUGAAUGAUGAAGGUCUUCGGAUUGUAAAGUUCUUUUCUAAGGGAAGAAGCAAGUGACGGUACCUUAGGAAUAAGCCUUGGCUAACUACGUGCCAGCAGCCGCCGUAAUACGUAGGAGGCGAGCGUUAUCCGGAAUGACUGGGCGUAAAGGGUGUGUAGGGGGUUUGGCAAGCUAGUUGGGUAACUUCAAGGCUCAACCUUGGAACUACUACUAAAACUGGUGGACUUGAGUGCAGGAGAGGCAAGCGGAAUGCGUGGUGUAGCGGUGGAAUGCGUAGAUAUUAGGAAGAACACCAGUGGCGAAGGCGGGUUGCUGGACUGUAACUGACGCUGAGGCACGAAAGCGUGGGGAGCGAACAGGAUUAGAUACCCGGGUAGUC
rnacentral:rRNA from 1 species